rnacentral:rRNA from 1 species
AUUGAACGCUGGCGGCAGGCUUAACACAUGCAAGUCGAGCGGGGGAAGGUAGCUUGCUACCGGACCUAGCGGCGGACGGGUGAGUAAUGCUUAGGAAUCUGCCUAUUAGUGGGGGACAACAUCUCGAAAGGGAUGCUAAUACCGCAUACGUCCUACGGGAGAAAGCAGGGGAUCUUCGGACCUUGCGCUAAUAGAUGAGCCUAAGUCGGAUUAGCUAGUUGGUGGGGUAAAGGCCUACCAAGGCGACGAUCUGUAGCGGGUCUGAGAGGAUGGUCCGCCAAACUGGGACUGCGACACGGCCCAGACUCCUACGGGAGGUAGCAGUGGGGAAUAUUGGACAAUGGGGGGAACCCUGAUCCAGCCAUGCCGCGUGUGUGAAGAAGGCCUUAUGGUUGUAAAGCACUUUAAGCGAGGAGGAGGCUACUCUAGUUAAUACCUAGGGAUAGUGGACGUUACUCGCAGAAUAAGCACCGGCUAACUCUGUGCCAGCCGCCGCGGUAAUAC